AUUGAACGCUGGCGGCAGGCUUAACACAUGCAAGUCGAGCGGAGAUGAGGUGCUUGCACCUUAUCUUAGCGGCGGACGGGUGAGUAAUGCUUAGGAAUCUGCCUAUUAGUGGGGGACAACAUUCCGAAAGGAAUGCUAAUACCGCAUACGCCCUACGGGGGAAAGCAGGGGAUCUUCGGACCUUGCGCUAAUAGAUGAGCCUAAGUCGGAUUAGCUAGUUGGUGGGGUAAAGGCCUACCAAGGCGACGAUCUGUAGCGGGUCUGAGAGGAUGAUACGCCACACUGGGACUGAGACACGGCCCAGACUCCUACGGGAGGUAGCAGUGGGGAAUAUUGGACAAUGGGCGGAAGCCUGAUCCAGCCAUGCCGCGUGUGUGAAGAAGGCCUUUUGGUUGUAAAGCACUUUAAGCGAGGAGGAGGCUACCUGGAUUAAUACUCUAGGAUAGUGGACGUUACUCGCAGAAUAAGCACCGGCUAACUCUGUGCCAGCCGCCGCGGUAAGAC
rnacentral:rRNA from 1 species